rnacentral:lncRNA from 1 species
UCGCCCGGCUAAUUUUUUGUAUUUUUAGUAGAGACGGGGUUUCACCGUGUUAGCCAGGAUGGUCUUGAUCUCCUGACCUCGUGAUCCGCGCGCCUCGGUCUCCCAAAAUGCUGGGAUUACAGGCGUGUGCCACCGCGCCUGGCCUCAUCUCUUAAUUCGAGUAAUUUUACAUAAGCAACAAUGGGGUAAGGAGGAGAAAAGAAAGAAGGAAAAAUUGGAAAGAUAAAUGGGGUCUUUCCAGUGAAGGAACUUGGCAAAUGUAUUUGAUGUACUACUUGAUUUAACAUCUAUGCUUCCAAAUGUUUAUUAUAAAGAAAUUACCAAGGCUCAAUUUUCCUACAUAAUUAAGAGUUUGGAAUUCGGGCAAUAUCAAGAACCACAUCUGUCCUGAAAUCAAUUAUCUCUGUUUGAAACACAAGAAAUAAGAAGACCAUUUUGAGAAGAACAGAGAGUAGCCUUAAGAAAAUCCCUGUCGCAAGCACUCUGGGAUUUGGACUCAAAUGCUAAUUAUACAACGUUGGUGGACCAGCCUUAAAACCAACAAUGAUUUGUAACAUUGAUUCUUUGGGAAAGGGCAUUCGGGAUCCCACAUCACCAUCUAACAAAUGAAUUUUUGUAAGAAAACCCAUUGAGACAAGAUCAUGUUCUGUUGCUCAGGCUGGAGUGCAGUAACACAAUCAUAGCUCACUAUAACCUCAAACUACUGGGAUCAGGAGAUCCCCCAACCUCAGCCUCCCGAGUAGCUUGGACUACAGGAACCACUUGGGUGCCCAGCUGCUGUCCAUUCUCUACACUUAUCCCACCUGAUGGAAGGCUGUUAAGAAAAACAUCACUGCAAUGCCUAAUAAACAGACAUGGGUCCCAGACCCAAUAAGAGUGAAACCAUCCCCCUAUUUAAAUGAAAUUAUGGCUGAUGAGAAAGACAAAUUAAUUUCUCUGUCCCUAGUAUUACACAAAACUUUGGAUGCUGCCAUUGUUACAAUUUUAUUUUCCCCAGGAGCUCAGAGUCCCACCUUCAUUCUUUUUGUUUAAUGCUUAAGCUUGCCUGUCCACCUA